GGGGAAUUUUGGACAAUGGGCGCAAGCCUGAUCCAGCAAUGCCGCGUGCAGGAAGAAGGCCUUCGGGUUGUAAACUGCUUUUGUACGGAACGAAACGGUCCUGGUUAAUACCUGGGGCUAAUGACGGUACCGUAAGAAUAAGCACCGGCUAACUACGUGCCAGCAGCCGCGGUAAUACGUAGGGUGCAAGCGUUAAUCGGAAUUACUGGGCGUAAAGCGUGCGCAGGCGGUUUUGUAAGACAGGCGUGAAAUCCCCGGGCUCAACCUGGGAAUGGCGCUUGUGACUGCAAGGCUGGAGUGCGGCAGAGGGGGAUGGAAUUCCGCGUGUAGCAGUGAAAUGCGUAGAUAUGCGGAGGAACACCGAUGGCGAAGGCAAUCCCCUGGGCCUGCACUGACGCUCAUGCACGAAAGCGUGGGGAGCAAAC
rnacentral:rRNA from 1 species